CUUGCUCUCCUAUAAGAGGUCCAGCCUGCCCAGUGACUUAAUUCAACGGCCGCGGUACCCUAACCGUGCGAAGGUAGCGUAAUCACUUGUCUUCUAAAUAGAGACUAGUAUGAAAGGCAUCACGAGAAUUUAACUGUCUCCUUUUUCCAAUCAGUGAAACUAAUCUUCCCGUGAAGAAGCGGGAAUCCAAAAAUAAGACGAGAAGACCCUAUGGAGCUUUAAACACUAACCACCUGCCCAAUCUUAUAAAACCCCGGUUCCUAAACCAACGCAUCAUGACUACAUGUUUUUGAUUGGGGCGACCACGGAAAAUAAUCAAACCUCCGUAAUGAAAACCUACAAGCCACAGCUUUAAGUAUCAACAAAUUGACAUCCAUUGACCCAAUAUAUUGACUAAUGAAC
rnacentral:rRNA from 1 species